AAGGAACCUGGAUAUUUCCCGCAGGAAGCACGGUGACCCCCUUUUAAGAAAUUCCUGGCGCACCCUACGUCUCCCUUAGGACGCUGCUUUGCGAGCUGCGUCUCCCGAAGGAUGCUUCUAGUCGUCGCCUUGCGUCUCCCUUAGGACGCUUUUUAUGUGCAACUGUUUGGCUAUCCUGCCUCCCUUAUAAAACGGAUAGGAAC
rnacentral:lncRNA from 1 species